UUCUGAUCUCAAAUCAGGUAGGACUACCCGCUGAACUUAA
rnacentral:rRNA from 1 species